GCGCGGCGGCGAUGGCGGAGCGGUGCCGAUCCGGAUCCCGGUGCCGCCCGGGCAGCAGCAGGGAGCGGUGCCCGGGGCAGAGUCCCCGGAAAGGAGCGGCAGGAGCGGCGAUCGCCCCGGAGUGGAAGCGGGUUUUCAGCAAGUGCGGCGCUCCUCCGAGGCUUCUCUCGUGCUUUUACUAUUAUUUAUAGUCUUGUAAAGAAGCACUGCUAAUAUGGGCACUUUAAAACAACUGUCUUGUCCUACCUUUCAUCUUCAAAAGAGUUUUAAAGGCAGUCGUUCAGAUUUAUUAUUUUUUGUCCUGAAGGCAACUCGUACUCGAAACCUGCUGCUAAUAAUUAUCAGCCCGGCAGUACGCAUCCACCCGCCCCGCCUCGUACGCUGCGAAAAUGAAGUUUUCCAGCAUUUUACAGAAAUAGCGCAGAGAAUAAGGAAGACGGGGAGAGGAAAAGAGGUGUGGUUUCGACGCAGAGCAUAUUUCCCCGCAGACACAGGACGGUGAGCUAAGCUACCGCAUGUUUCGCUGAAGCAGAAAAAGGAGGGACGCCGUCCUUUCGUGCAACACCGACCGGCUCACGUCGUAUGGGAAAAGUACAGAAUGUCGUGGAGCUUCGGAAAAAAGCACAAACUUUCCACCUUUCUCCCAGCCCUCUCAGCUCUGCGCCUUCGGUUUGCAGGGGGAGUCUGUGAAUCCACAGAAAUGUUGGCAACCUCCCCCUCCCCGUAUUUAUCCCCUAUCAUUUACAGACAAGGUUCUUUUUAAAAACAUAAAUAAAGCUUUUUUUUUUCUGGUCAA